rnacentral:rRNA from 1 species
AUUGAACGCUGGCGGCAUGCCUAACACAUGCAAGUCGAGCGGAAGAACGGAGCUUUUUCCUGGAUUCGGCUGCGGACGGGUGAGUAAUGCCUAGGAAUCUCCCCCGUAGUCGGGGGUAACAUCCCGGAACAGGCGCUCAUAUCGCAUACGUCCUGUGGUACAGCGUGGGGGAGCUUCGGACGUUUCGCUAGCAGAGGAGGCUAGGGCGGAUUAGCUAGUUGGUGGGGUGAAGGCCUACCAAGACGACUAUCCGUAGCUGGUCUGAGAGGAGGAUCAGUCACAUGGGAACGGAGACACGGACAUGACGACUACGGGACGCAGCAGUGGGGAAUGGUGGACAAUGGGCGAGAGCAUGAUCCAACGAGGGCGCGUGUGUGACGGAGGUGUUGGGAUUGUAAAGAACGUCAAGGUGGGAGAAAGGGCAGUAAGUUAAUACGUUGCGGGAUUGACGGUACCAAGAAAAGAAGCACCGGCUAACUUCGUG